rnacentral:tRNA from 1 species
AAUAAAAUGCCUGAAAAAGGACUAUCUUGAUAGGAUAUUUCAUGUACUCUGUACUUUUAUUA